UUCCGGUGUCCACUUGGAAGGGGAAGCCCUCUCUAAAGCCUUGGCACCUUUGGGGACAGCUACAUAUGUUGGGGGCUUUACUUCCCUCUCUCCUCAUCCUAACCAGUGUGGGGAGAUAGCAAAUCCUCCUCUACCUCUGGGGACACAGCAAGCUGGGAAUGGAAAAGAGGGAGAGGAAGAAAACACACGAACAACUUUGGUGCCUACUCCUCCCUUUCAUCCGACCCCUGUUUGGAAACGAAUGAAGCAACACCCACCAGUGGACUUCCAGCUCCACACCCCACAAGCCCAAAUCAGGGCACCAGUCACCCAGAGGCCACUGACAUGCUUACCGGUCUUGGCUGAAAAUCUGGAAAGAUGGAAUUGAAGAAAGAAAGAUUUCCCAACGCAGUAAGCGACACCUCGCCCUGAAAAAAGCUCGGCACAAAGCGGGGUGAAAGUUGAAGAGGGAAUGAGCUUGUAAUAGUGCCUCGCCAGACCUCACACAUGCUGAAGGAUAUUUACAGCAAACGUGCCAAAGUAAACUACCCCGCCUACCCACCACCAUGCCCCCUCCUCG
ensembl:lncRNA